ACAAAGACAUUUUUCCUUUGUUCUUUGUUGACCAUUUUCCUAAAAGAUAUAUGUUCAUAGGUUUUAAUUUAAAUUUUUGACCCUUAGUGUAUGCAUGUACAAGUUUGUGACGGUGUAUGGAUGUAUGUGUACAUGUGCAGACACGCAUAUGAAUUUGUUUUUAUACUGUUCUCUAAAUAUAUGGCUUCAGGCACAUCGGCACAUUUAGUUACUAGUUUUAAGAUAUAUUGGAAUUGAACUGAUUGUUAAAGCAAGUGCUUCACUACAAACAUUUUUCAGGACGCAUUCCCAUCAAUCCAACAAUGCAUAUUUUGCAAUUAACAUACCCACUUCUACACAAAAAAAGGAAAUCAGCUUCCGACUUUCUCAGAAGGUCAUCUCUUUUGCGUAUUGCCUGUGAAGACAAAAAGCAUUCCAAUAGUGCUUUUUAUGAUGUACUUUUUAUACUGCAUCCUGCUAUUUUGAGCUAUGGGGUACAUGAGAUUAUACAGCACCUCAUUAGUAACUAGGUCAAGUAUCCACAAUCUCCUCCAGGAUCAAAAAGUUACAAGGACUUUAAUUUAGAAUAGCCUGUUGAAAAAAAAGAUUCAGUAUUACAAUAAAUGCAUCAUUAAUCAAUACUUACAAGUUCAAAGGCAAAAAUAUAUAUACAUAUUCCAUGUAAUUGUGAGAGAAAUGCAGUUUGAUCUAAAUGAAUGAUUUAAAAAAAAAAAAAGGAAGAAUGUCUGAUGAAUUAAAAAAUAAAGUAAAAUCAAAUAAGAAAGGGGGAUUGUUAACCUCUUGGUGACAACUGCCACAGAGCUCUUUCAUUGGGUACUCAGGCAAAUGCCAUAGGUUAAUAUGGCCAUAGGGGUAUCCCAAAGCAAUCAGAAAAAAAAGAUAUCAUGCUACUUUCUCUCUUCUUUUCUUUUUUUUCUCUCACAGUUUAAAGUUCUUAUCUGUGUAAAACAACGACUCAACUGUAUUUUAUUGUUGCUUGAAUUGUCAAGUAAAACUUGGAGUCUGGAUUUAGAAGAGCCCAUUCUGUUGAGACAUGGAGCAAUAGUUUUAAUUUCUACACGCACAUAUUUUAAGCAUGUGUUGCAAGUUUAUAGACAUAAGUUUAGAGAUAAAAGUAUCAAUCACUAUUGAGUAUUCAUGACUGACUGUGUGUUAUUGGCUUGAUGCCACACCUUGAUUUUCUAUCAUGCUCCAUCAUGCUUCUUUUAAUCUGAAUAUUUAGUACUCUUUCAUGUCUUAAUUACAGCAAAUUGCACACAGUUGGCACCAUUUCUUGAAAUUAAUCCCAGAGUACUUUGUUUCUGUCAAGCACAGUCAAAGCCUUAGAGAAUAAUAGUAAAUGUUAUUGCAGAUCUAAAUUUAAAUGACUGUCUAUGUAUUUAACUUAAGCCUUUAAUUAUUCGUGCAGCACUGUUUUUGGUUCAAAUGUUAAACAUUCAUUUUUGAGAAUUUAAAAUUGUUUCAGACAGCUUGAAACCUGUGAUGUUAACAUGACAACAAUUAUUUGUAUUAACACGUCUUUUCAGGUGUGUAAAACUUAAUAGACAUCAUAUAAUACCCUGCCACAGUAAUAUGUCUCCAUUUCUUUCUGUUUAUUCAGUAAAUAAUAAAAAGGUUCUAAUU
rnacentral:lncRNA from 7 species